UGGGGAAUUUUGGACAAUGGGCGAAAGCCUGAUCCAGCAAUGCCGCGUGUGUGAAGAAGGCCUUCGGGUUGUAAAGCACUUUUGUCCGGAAAGAAAUCCUUGGCUCUAAUACAGUCGGGGGAUGACGGUACCGGAAGAAUAAGCACCGGCUAACUACGUGCCAGCAGCCGCGGUAAUACGUAGGGUGCAAGCGUUAAUCGGAAUUACUGGGCGUAAAGCGUGCGCAGGCGGUUUGCUAAGACCGAUGUGAAUCCCCGGGCUCAACCUGGGAACUGCAUUGGUGACUGGCAGGCUAGAGUAUGGCAGAGGGGGGUAGAAUUCCACGUGUAGCAGUGAAAUGCGUAGAGAUGUGGAGGAAUACCGAUGGCGAAGGCAGCCCCCUGGGCCAAUACUGACGCUCAUGCACGAAAGCGUGGGGAGCAAACAGGAUUAGAUACCCUGGUAGUCCACGCCCUAAACGAUGUCAACUAGUUGUUGGGGAUUCAUUUCCUUAGUAACGUAGCUAACGCGUGAAGUUGACCGCCUGGGGAGUACGGUCGCAAGAUUAAAACUUAAAGGAAUUGAC
rnacentral:rRNA from 1 species